rnacentral:misc_RNA from 1 species
UUGAAUAAGCUUGGUUAGGUUGUUUCUGGCUCUUUUGAGAGCAUGUGCACACCUAACACCAACUUUUUUACCACCUGUGCACCUUUUGUAGAUCUGGAAUACCUCUCGAGGCAACUCAGUUUGUAAGGAUUGCUGAGGUGCAAAGCCAAGCUUUUCUUUCACUUUCCAGUCUAUGUUUUACAUUAUAUACCACAGUAUGUUUAAGAAUGUUAUCAAGGGCCUUUAAUUGCCUUUUAAACCUUAUA